rnacentral:pre_miRNA from 1 species
UUCACCCUGGGGAUCCUGUUAAAAUGCAGGUUCUAAUUUUGUAAGAUGGGGCCUCAGAUUCAGCAUUUCUAACAAGCUCCCAGGUGAUGCCAA